GAAGAAGCACCGGCUAACUCCGUGCCAGCAGCCGCGGUAAUACGGAGGGUGCAAGCGUUAAUCGGAAUUACUGGGCGUAAAGCGCACGCAGGCGGUCUGUCAAGUCGGAUGUGAAAUCCCCGGGCUCAACCUGGGAACUGCAUUCGAAACUGGCAGGCUUGAGUCUUGUAGAGGGGGGUAGAAUUCCAGGUGUAGCGGUGAAAUGCGUAGAGAUCUGGAGG
rnacentral:rRNA from 1 species